AACGCACAUUGCACUCUCUUUCGGGAGAGUAUGCCUGUUUGAGAAUCUAUUGUAUUCAUUUCUUGGUAUUUCGUAUGGAAUGGCAAGGAGUUUUGGGGUUUCUCUGGGACUAGUCUUUGAGUGCCCUUAAAUAGAUUGCUGGUUUUAUAGCCGAAUUAAACAAUUGAGCGUUUUCCGUAGGAGAACUUUUAUUGUUUCAAGGAAGCUUGCAAGGCUGGCGCACCAAUUAACUGGGUGUUUGCAAAAACAUUUAGUGAACCAUGGUCUCAAAUCAGGUAGGACUACCCGCUGAACUUAA
rnacentral:misc_RNA from 1 species